UAAAAUAGUUUUAAAAACAUAAUCAGUUGUGGCCAUGGGAUCUCCAACUGCACAUUGGAGCAACCUGGAGAUACUUUGACAACUCAGGUCAGCACAGUACCUGCGGCUGCCACUCACCUUUCAUAUAAUG